rnacentral:rRNA from 1 species
GAAAGGCGGGCUAAACCCGCGUACAUGCCACCGGGGCAUCCCGGAGGCAGGAAAGGCUUCGGCCGGACAGGGAUGGGCAUGCGGCGCAUUAGGCAGUAGGCGGGGUAACGGCCCACCUAACCGACGAUGCGUAGGGGUUCUGAGAGGAAGGUCCCCCACACUGGUACUGAGACACGGACCAGACUCCUACGGGAGGCAGCAGUGAGGAAUAUUGGUCAAUGGUCGGGAGACUGAACCAGCCAAGCCGCGUGAGGGAGGAAGGUACAGAGUAUCGUAAACCUCUUUUGUCAGGGAACAAAGACUGGGACGCGUCCCCGGAUGAGUGUACCUGAAGAAAAAGCAUCGGCUAACUCCGUGCCAGCAGCCGCGGUAAUACGGAGGAUGCGAGCGUUAUCCGGAUUUAUUGGGUUUAAAGGGUGCGCAGGCGGUCUGUUAAGUCAGCGGUCAAAGCCCGGGGCUCAACCCCGGCCCGCCGUUGAAACUGGCAGUCUCGAGUUGGAGAGAAGUAUGCGGAAUGCGCGGUGUAGCGGUGAAAUGUAUAGAUAUCGCGCAGAACUCCGAUUGCGAAGGCAGCAUGCCGGCUCCACACUGACGCUGAGGCACGAAAGCGUGGGUAUCGAACAGGAUUAGAUACCCUGGUAGUCC